AUCAAUUUCAGAAACAAAAACUGUGACACUCUUCCUCACUCUUCCAUUACUCUCUCUCUUCUCAAACCGCCCCUAUCUUUCUCACAUUUUGGUUGGAGAAGAAGCAAAUAAGAUCUCCACUCCAUAAAUAACGAAUUGAAAUUGGAUUUCCGCGGUGUAUUUCGAGUUUAGAAAUAGGUAAUUGCUUGCAACACAUUGUUAGUCACUUGAGGAAUAUAGUGGGUAAACGGAAGCUGAUCAAUCUUCUGAACAUGGCAGUGGAUUUGUCGAUGAAAGUGGGGUAGGGGGCCCUGCUGGCCAGGUCGAAGGAAUUUGCAUGCUUUUCAAAGUGCUCUUUUAUAUGCUGUGACUGGAUAUACACUCUCAAAUGGAGUAUAAUUAUUUUUCAAAGUAGAAUGAAUCGCAUUGUAAAAUAUAUGACAUUGUAUCCAUGUAUUUGGAUUGCUUUUCAAAGGAGAAUAAAUUGCUUUUGAGGAGGGCCGAAAGAAAUGAAAACACGAUGAGUACGACAAGAACGAAAGCAGGACCUAUUGACGUUGAGAAGAUGGUUUCAGACUACUGAAAGAGCAGGUUUGUGCGGGGUCGUGUGUUCAACUGGUCAUGAGGGAACCUAGACCUAGUUGUGUCGUUGACACGAAACCUAAAACCUGUCAUCAAAACCUCAACCCACUUCUACUGGCUAGUAUAAUGGUGUAAGGGUCGAAGCCCACAGAGAUGGACGUAUGUGUAAUACAAUUGAGAUGACAUUCUGAAAAGGUUGGUUUGCUACCACACUUUGGGGGUUGAGUAAGCUACUAUCAUCUAGGGUAUGGCUUAUACGUGAAUGUAAGGUCUGUACUGUUGGGGUGCAUGUGAAAAGUGAGAAAUUACUAUAAAUGGAUAGACAAAAACAAAAGAGAAUAUCUGACUGCACUGAUCGACCAACUACCA